rnacentral:rRNA from 1 species
AUUGAACGCUGGCGGAAUGCUUUACACAUGCAAGUCGAACGGCAGCACGGACUUCGGUCUGGUGGCGAGUGGCGAACGGGUGAGUAAUGUAUCGGAACGUGCCCAGUCGUGGGGGAUAACGUAGUGAAAAUUACGCUAAUACCGCAUACGAUCGAUGGAUGAAAGCGGGGGAUCGCAAGACCUCGCGCGAUUGGAGCGGCCGAUAUCAGAUUAGGUAGUUGGUGGGGUAAAGGCCCACCAAGCCAACGAUCUGUAGCUGGUCUGAGAGGACGAACAGCCACACUGGAACGGAGACACGGUCCAGACUCCUACGGGAGGCAGCAGUGGGGAAUUUUGGACAAUGGGCGAAAGCCUGAUCCAGCCAUUCCGCGUGCAGGAUGAAGGCCCUCGGGUUGUAAACUGCUUUUGUACAGAACGAAAAGGUUUCUACUAAUACUAGGAGCUCAUGACGGUACUGUAAGAAUAAGCACCGGCUGACUACGUGCCAGCCGCCGCCGUAA